AGAAUCAACGCUGGCGGCGUGCCUCAGACAUGCAAGUCGAACGAUUAAAGCUCUCUUCGGAGAGUGUAUAGAGUGGCGCACGGGUGAGUAACACGUAAGUAAUCUACCCUCGAGUGGGGGAAUAACGUCCGGAAACGGACGCUAAUACCGCAUAAUGCAGCGGCACCGCAAGGUGACAGUUGUAAAGAUUUAUCGCUUGAGGUAGGAGCUUGCGGUCAGAUUAGCUAGUUGGUAAGGUAAGUAGGCUUACCAAGGCUACGAUCUGUAACCGGUCUUAGAGGACGGUCGGUCGACACUGACACUGAAUAACGGUCAGGACUCCUACGGGAGGCAGCGAGUCGGGAAUUUUGGGCAAGUGGGACGAAAGCCUAGACCCAGGCAACGCCGCGUCGAAGGACUGGAAGUAUUUCGG
rnacentral:rRNA from 1 species